CUUGGAUGGCAGUCAUUCACUAAGACAAAAAAAAAAGUAAUAAACAUAAAUGAGAUAAGUAGAUCUGGAGAAUAAACUAAUUUGAUUUUGGACACAUUAAGUUUAAAAGAAAAAAAGAGAAAGAACUGGCAAGAAAAAAGAAAGAAAGAAAAAAAAAAUCUUGUGGGAGUCCUUAAUCUUUAUUCUGGCAACAGUUUUUAACCGGACAGCUGGAGCUGGGUGCUUGACUCUUCUGCCUUGCGAAUGUCCUGUCCACCCUGCCCAAGCCCUGGGAAGGCAGAACCGGCCUCUGCCGAGCUUGGCCUUCAGACACCUCCUCCGAGGCACGGCGUUCACUGUGAGCUUGUGGACAGUUCUUGUGAGCUCGAGCUAUAAGGAAGCUCCUUAAAUGACUCUGCUAGGCUGGAAUUCCCACUGCAAUGAUGAGUGAUGAUUGUUACUAUGACUGGACUGAGGCCAUGCUGCACCCUGGAAUGAUCCCUUAUGAUUUCAGAGGCUUGCCGAAUAUCAGGUGCCGGUGAGCAGGAGGAGUAGGAGAAGGCGGAAGAGAAAGAGGAGGAGGCAGAGGACGAAACAAAAGAAAGAAGCAGUCUACAAACAUAAAAGAGUACAAGGAAGAUGAGAAACGCAAAGGUUUUGGAUACCAUACUCCCCUGCUCUAAGAUACACUUUUCAUUUUCACAUCUGAAGAUCCCCGUCACCAGGAUUCAUCUCACAACUGAUGGCGCCCUCCCUCAGCUGUCAGCGCGAACUUUCACGACUCGAGUUCCUUGAAAACAAACCACACAUCCCUUCAUCUCUGCACCCCCUCCAGAGCCUUGCAGUCUUCACUGUCAUCACAUUCAAGCACAUGCUGCAUAAAGGAAGGAAGCGGGAAUGGAAUGGACAGGUAGCAUGCUGUGAAUAUAAAGACACUCAGUGGAUUCCUGGCCACUUGGACAGUGGAAGGGGAUUUUCUCAGAGCCACCAAAACCAAUAUUCUAGGCUCACCUAACAUAAUGUAACUGAGAAUUCUUGGUUCUAAUUUGAGGCACCUGAUACAUAAAGGAAGGCGCAUAGGAUGGAGGCCCCAGAGACCGUAUUUAUUACUCAAUGGGGCAGGAAAUUGGGAGAAGGCUCUGGUGUCCAGGAGAAGAGUUCAGGCCAGUGGAUUAAGCCCCAUCAUGAGCCAGGAACUGAGCUAGUCCUGGCUGAAAAUGCAACCACAGCACACACUUCUGCUCUCAAGGGGCUUAGGGUUCGGCGGGGGAGAGACUUACAUAAUACACAUGUGAGACAGUCACAAGUGCGAGAAGCCAUGUCUGCUCAUUUGUGCUUGUCAAGAUAAUUUCACACAGUCCCUGAAUCUGUGAGGCCAUGCAGCUCUUUGGGAAGAUGCUUUGAAGACAAAACAGGAUGGACCACAUGGCUCCCACACCACUUGCCUGAGUCACUAUGCUCCUUAAAAGAUGAAUGACCCUAGCCUUGACUUUUCCUACACAGAAGAUAACGUUUGACAGGGUUAGUGACUAUGCCUCUGUAAUUCAUUACUAAAUGCAUUUUAGUCAUCUAUAACCAGAUAUACUCUGGCACCCAGACUUUGACGUGAUUUUGCACGUACUGAACCUUCACCACCCGUCCAUAAACUGUGAGCUGAAACACCACAUUGGAGCCUCUGAUGGAACUGCUCCCGGGCUGUAGACCUCCAUCUACAGUCUUCGGUAAGGCUUCUGAAUAAAACUAACUUUAAUUCUUUAAAAGUUUGAUUUGUU
rnacentral:lncRNA from 1 species